AAUAGGUAUCAAAGUUAUGGGGUGUUACACCAUUACUUCUUUUCAUAUACUUGUUUUCGUAAAUUUCUUUGCCACUUAUUUGUUGAUAGAACUGAUUUUUUACGUUGAUAUACAUAAUAUGUAUAUAUGUGAGGCAGUCUUUGAUUAAUAGUUUCAUUUUUUAUCAAUAGGUCAUACCCAGUGAACUAGGAUCCUGAUUUUAUGGGAUUUGAGAGAAGUGGUACAAGGGUAGUCUUAGACUCUUAGUGUCUCAGAUUUGAACCCAUAAUAUAAACUAUAAAGGGCACUUGCUAUCGCACUAAGGCUCAACCUCAAAUUGUUGUCAAAAAACGACUUGUAGUUUAGCAUUUGUUCGGGUCUAAAAUUAAUAUGGCUCUGCAGUUGAAGUGGGUCCAAAUGAGAUGCAACUUAUUAUCAUGCCUGGCAAUGGGCUAGUUUCUCUCAGAUUUUUGUACUUAUUUCUCCUCAUUCUUUAUUUCUGGCUUAACUGUGCACUACUUCAUAUUUAGAAAUUAUCUUUGCUUUGUUUCCGCAUUAUGCUAUCUAGUUUGACAUUGUUUCAACUGUUAAUGUGACUUUGAAAAUUCAAGGCACAAGCAUUGGCCAUGGAACUACUGCAUUACCUUUGGAAGAAUAUCUAGUGGAAUCAUGAGUUACUUGCUUUUAUUAUGAUCUUCUAACUCCAUUAUGGUUUUAGAUGCCAUUUUGAAGCUUAGAGGAGUUCACUUGAGGAAGAUGGCACAGCAACUAAUGCAAACUGUAUGGGGAGGAGACGUUAGCAUGUGAUGUCCCUGGAAUCAAAAGAUUACUUCCAACUCAGUGGAGGGAAUUGGACUUUUUCAACAAUAUUUAUGAACUAGUUGUUCCUGUUGUCACAAUACAACUAAGAUACAACGGUUGGGUCUACAACGGUUGCCAAAUGUUAACUUUCGGAAGUCAUGUUAUACGUAUUUGAUCUAUUCAUGACACAGAAAGUUGAUCCUUAAAAGUGUGAUUAUAACUAAACUAGAAUUUUCAA